rnacentral:rRNA from 1 species
CAAUCAAGCGCAAAAGGGCAUUUGGUGGAUGCCUUGGCACUGAGAGGCGAUGAAGGACGUAGCACACUGCGAUAAGCUACGGGGAGCUGUGAGCAAGCUUUGAUCCGUGGAUUUCCGAAUGGGGAAACCCGGCCCGCAAGGGUCAUCCUGCACUGAAUACAUAGGUGUAGGAAGCAAACCCGGCGAACUGAAACAUCUAAGUAGCCGGAGGAAAGGACAUCAACCGAGACUCCGCUAGUAGUGGCGAGCGAACGCGGACUAGGCCAGUGGCCAUACGUUAAGAACCGGAACCGUCUGGAAAGUCGGGCCAUAGUGGGUGAUAGCCCCGUACGGGUAGAAAGACGUUUGGUCCUCGAGUAGGGCGGGACACGAGAAAUCCUGUCUGAACAUGGGGGGACCACCCUCCAAGCCUAAGUACUCCUCAGUGACCGAUAGUGAACAAGUACCGUGAGGGAAAGGUGAAAAGCACCCCGAUAAGGGGAGUGAAAUAGUUCCUGAAACCGGAUGCCUACAAGCAGUCGGAGGGAGAGUUGUCUUCGGACAACGGCUUCUGACGGCGUACCUUUUGUAUAAUGGGUCAGCGACUUAGUCUGUGCAGCAAGCUUAAGCCGUUAGGUGUAGGCGCAGCGAAAGCGAGUCUUAAUAGGGCGAUUUAGUUGUACGGAUUAGACCCGAAACGUGGUGAUCUAGCCAUGGGCAGGUUGAAGGUGGGGUAAGACCCACUGGAGGACCGAACCCACCUAUGUUGAAAAAUGGGGGGAUGACCUGUGGCUAGGGGUGAAAGGCCAAUCAAACCACGAAAUAGCUGGUUCUCCGCGAAAACUAUUUAGGUAGUGCGUCAUGUUUUACCGUCGGGGGUAGAGCACUGGAUGGGCUAGGGGGGCGCGAGCCUUACCAAACCUAACCAAACUCCGAAUACCGACGAGUACAAUCAUGGCAGACAGACUAUGGGUGCUAAGAUCCAUGGUCGAAAGGGAAACAGCCCAGACCGCCAGUUAAGGUCCCCAAAUAAUGGCUAAGUGGGAAAGGAUGUGGGAAGGCCAAGACAGCCAGGAGGUUGGCUUAGAAGCAGCCAUCCUUUAAAGAAAGCGUAACAGCUCACUGGUCUAAUUAAGCCGUCCUGCGCCGAAGAUGUAACGGGGCUUAAGCCAUUUACCGAAACUGCGGGUGUGUUGAAUCUUCGGGUUCAAUACGCGGUAGCGGAGCGUUCCGUAGGCCUGUGAAGGCGUGCCGUGAGGCAUGCUGGAGGUAUCGGAAGUGCGAAUGCUGACAUGAGUAGCGACAAAGAGUGUGAGAAACACUCUCGCCGAAAGCCCAAGGGUUCCUGCGCAAGGUUAAUCCACGCAGGGUGAGCCGGCCCCUAAGCCGAGGCCGAAAGGCGUAGGUGAUGGGAAUCAGGUUAAUAUUCCUGAGCCCGCUGGAAGUGACGAAUAUCGUAAGUUGUCAGUCCUUAUUGGAUUGGAUCUGGCAGUGAAGGUGUUCCAGGAAAUAACUCCAGCAUAUGGACCGUACCCCAAACCGACACAGGUGGGCAGGUAGAGUAUACUAAGGCGCUUGAGAGAACGAUGUUGAAGGAACUCGGCAAAAUACCCUCGUAACUUCGGGAGAAGAGGGACCUUUUCUUGGGCAACCAGGAAGAGGUGGCACAGACCAGGGGGUGGCGACUGUUUACUAAAAACAUAGGGCUCUGCUAAGUCGUAAGACGACGUAUAGGGUCUGACGCCUGCCCGGUGCUGGAAGGUUAAGGAGAGAGGUGAGAGCUUUGAACCGAAGCCCCAGUAAACGGCGGCCGUAACUAUAACGGUCCUAAGGUAGCGAAAUUCCUUGUCGGGUAAGUUCCGACCUGCACGAAUGGCGUAACGACUGCCCCACUGUCUCCAACAUUGACUCAGCGAAAUUGAACUCUCCGUGAAGAUGCGGAGUAGGCGUGGUCAGACGGAAAGACCCCGUGCACCUUUACUACAGCUUCGCAGUGGUAUUAGGGAAUGGAUGUGUAGGAUAGGUGGAAGGCUUUGAAGCCGAGGCGCCAGCUUUGGUGGAGCCACCCUUGAAAUACCACCCUUCUGUUGUCUGAUAUCUAACCGUGCCCCAUGAACCUGGGGCCGGGACCCUGCGUGGCGGGUAGUUUGACUGGGGCGGUCGCCUCCUAAAGAGUAACGGAGGCGCGCGAUGGUGGGCUCAGGCUGGUCGGAAAUCAGCUGUAGAGUGCAAUGGCAUAAGCCCGCCUGACUGCGAGACUGACAGGUCGAGCAGAGACGAAAGUCGGUCAUAGUGAUCCGGUGGUCCCGCGUGGAAGGGCCAUCGCUCAACGGAUAAAAGGUACGCCGGGGAUAACAGGCUGAUACCCCCCAAGAGUUCACAUCGACGGGGGUGUUUGGCACCUCGAUGUCGGCUCAUCACAUCCUGGGGCUGGAGCAGGUCCCAAGGGUAUGGCUGUUCGCCAUUUAAAGUGGUACGUGAGCUGGGUUUAGAACGUCGUGAGACAGUUCGGUCCCUAUCUGCCAUGCCAGUACGAGACUUGAGAGGAGCUGCCCCUAGUACGAGAGGACCGGGGUGGACGUACCUCUGGUGUACCGGUUGUCGCGCCAGCGGCAUCGCCGGGUAGCUAAGUACGGAAGGGAUAACCGCUGAAAGCAUCUAAGCGGGAAGCCCACCUCGAUACUAGGUCUCGCUUGAGAGCCGUGGAAGACCACCACGUUGAUAGGCUGGAUGUGGAAGUGCGGUAACGCAUGGAGCUAACCAGUACUAAUUGCUCAAUCGGCUUGAUUGC